rnacentral:rRNA from 1 species
GUGGGGAAUAUUGGACAAUGGGCGAAAGCCUGAUCCAGCAAUGCCGCGUGAGUGAUGAAGGCCUUAGGGUUGUAAAGCUCUUUUACCCGGGAUGAUAAUGACAGUACCGGGAGAAUAAGCUCCGGCUAACUCCGUGCCAGCAGCCGCGGUAAUACGGAGGGAGCUAGCGUUGUUCGGAAUUACUGGGCGUAAAGCGCACGUAGGCGGCUUUGUAAGUUAGAGGUGAAAGCCUGGAGCUUAACUCCAGAACUGCCUUUAAGACUGCAUCGCUUGAAUCCAGGAGAGGUGAGUGGAAUUCCGAGUGUAGAGGUGAAAUUCGUAGAUAUUCGGAAGAACACCAGUGGCGAAGGCGGCUCACUGGACUGGUAUUGACGCUGAGGUGCGAAAGCGUGGGGAGCAAACAGGAUUAGAAACCCUAGUAGUCC